rnacentral:rRNA from 1 species
CAGCCGUAAACUAUGCUCGCUAGGUGUCAGGCAUGGCGCGACCGUGUCUGGUGCCGCAGGGAAGCCGUGAAGCGAGCCACCUGGGAAGUACGGCCGCAAGGCUGAACUUAAGGAAUUGGCGGGGGAGCACCACAACGGGUGGAGCCUGCGGUUUAAUUGGACUCAACGCCGGGAAGCUCACCGGAUAAGACAGCGGAAUGAUUGCCGGGCUGAAGACUCUGCAUGACUAGCUGAGAGGUGGUGCAUGGCGUAGACGUCU